rnacentral:lncRNA from 1 species
AGAGAGGAAAACACGCGCGCGCACACACGGUGAUAUCUUGCGGGUGAUGAAUAUGAUAAUUGGACAAGAGACGCUGGAGGCAAAGGAUGUGAAAAUGGGAGAGCCGCGUAAUGGAAGGUUCCCAGAUUUCAGAGCUGUCACUUGGAGGAGGGCCACCCAGUGAAGAGUGACCAUCUGGAUUUGAUCCCUAUCCUUCAGAGGUGCUCAGCCCAAGGGAACACGGGUAGUAGAUUAAGCACUGACCAGAAACAAGGUAAAGUCAUGUCCACAGCAUGGACUCUGAAGCUGGACUCCCUGGAUCCAAAUCCUUGCUCUGUCAUCUAUUAGCCUUGUGACUUGGAAUAAGUUUCUCAGCCUUUCUGUGCCUUCAUGUCUUCAUCUGGAGAAUGAAGCUCACAGAUUCUAGUCUACGUCAUAAGCAGGGGCAACCUAAAAGAGGGUUUGAUGGAGGACAGAAAGCAGGCUGAUCCUGGGCCCUUGGGUGCUGGAGGAGGAGGCCCCCUGAAGGGAGCAGGAGAAGAAAGGACAGCAGAGGAGUGCUGAAAUUCACCUUGCCGACUGCCCCAGGCCAGCUGUUCUUGGCUCUAGGAGAUUCAAAGUCUAAGAAAGAUCCCUUUCCCCUGAUCCGCCAAAGUUUUCAUUUCCUAGAGAAAUAGCUUCUCUCUCUGCGUGUUUCCUUCCACUCUCAGCAAGACCUGAACAAGCGCAUGAAGGUGAUAAACCUGCUACUUCACUGGGGCUGUUUAUUUCCAGUCGACAAAUAUUGUGCCAAUGUUCACUUCAAUUAGGGGACACAUUUGACAAUCUGACUACUCCAUCUGAUGCCUCAAGGGCAAAUUUCAGCUCUUUCAGGAAGGGAUGGGCCAAUAACGGAUUCAUAUGAAUAAAAUAUACAGAGAAGGAACAUUCGCAGCAGUUUGGGGAAACCACCUUCUCCAGCAAGGAGAGCAAAAUAUCUACAUGAAAAUAAAAUUCACAUAAAUAAAGCAUGGGACUUAAACUGUUGGGAUGCUGGGAAUUCAGAGUGAAGGCUCCUGUGCCUGCUUGCCCUUCACCUGCCUGGAUUUGGGAACUAAGAAGUGCAAAUCAGCACUAAGGAGACUAAGACAUUUGUAAUUCUAUGGAAGAAAAUCAUUGUGGCAGACUUCAACUCGCUAAGAAUCUUACUCAUUUAUUCCAGUUUUAAGAAUCAUCCUAGCCACCAGAAAUUUUUUGUGGUGUUUAAUUUUAAUCCUCUGUUUAAUUCCCUUUCUUCUUUAUUAACUUGAAGAUAAUCAGAAAAGCUGCUCAGCAUCCCCUUUUAUACAGCUCUCCACAUCCUGGAAGGCAGAGUCAAGGACCAGGUCCCAUGAAUAGAGCUCUUCCUGCUCGGAAUUGACCUUGGGUCCAUGUUACCCUUUUCCUGGCAGCAGCAGACUAGAGGACGAGUUAAGUCUUCUGCAGCACCUGCCUUGGGCAAGUGCCAUCAGCUCGCUGACUCCUGUAUUCCCAUCAGGGAAAGGGAAAGUCAGUUCCUUCCUCAUCUUGGAAGGGUUUCCAGGGAAUCAAGUCAGGUGAUAAGAGUGGAUGGAAGUGAAAGUUUGAUAGAAAUGAAGGGACUCUCGUUGUUUGGUUCCUGUUUUGGGGGCUACCCUGGUCAGUACAAAGAACUCCCAGAGGCAGCUUAGUCACUGAGAUCGGAAUAAAAAGCAAAAAUUACCUUUAAGGCCAGGUGCAGUGGCCCACGCCUAUAAUCCCAGCACUUUGGGAGGCCAAGACAGGUGGAUCGCCUGAGGUCAGGAGUUCAAGAUCAGCCUGGCCAACAUGGUGAAACCCUGUCUCUACUAAAAAUACAAAAAUUAGCCAGGCAUGGUGGCGGGUGGCUGUAAUCCCAGCUACUUGGGAGGCUAAGGCAGGAGAAUUGCUUGAACCCGGGAGGCAUAGGUUGUAGUGAGCUGAGAUUGUGCCACUGCACUCCAGCCUGGGCGACAGGGGGAGACUCCAUCUCAAAAAAAAAAAAAAAAAA